GGCAUCGAGGAGUGCUCUCGGCCGUACCGGGGUGGCGUUCGGAAAACCAGACAGACGUUCGGAACAAGUUCCAAAAUCGUGUUGUAUUACAUCUGUGAGCAGGCGGGGUUUCCUAGCCUUGAACAAUUUGGUGAAAGUGUCCGAACUCUAUCGAACGUUUCUGGGGUUGCUGGUUCAAACUGGGAGCCAAAGCUAUAAAGUUAACGAAAUGCAUGCUUUAUUGAGCUUCUGCACGGCGUUCUAGAAACAAAAUCAUUGAAAGGGGACGGAAUUCCGUGUUCAAAUGAGACUCACUAUUUCAACCGUUGACGAAAAGCGCGUGUGCCGCACGAUACCCAGUAUGAGCACACGGGGUCCUUCUGAAGACUGUUCGAGUCGUUCGUGUGGGCACGUGGAGGCUCGCCACGCAGAUGAGGAUACCUCGUCUGGCAUACGUCACAAACGCUUCGUGUAGAUCUCGUGGAGGAUGCGGUGCCAGCAAGAGAGACCGCUUCAGCGAGUCUCGUGAACCAUCCGCUGCAGCGGAACGUCUCGUGUUCGGGCGCCAUGACGCGUGACCCGGGCACCAGUGCCUACCGGUGCACCGGCACGCAUCGAGAAGCCUGCGAAAGGCCUGUAAGCCUCGAGUUACGGUAGUCCGAACGUGGUGAAUGGUGACGGUCUGCUGCAGCAAGCCGUCUCGAACAGCUACGCAUAGCGAAGCAUUGCUUUCAAGGAGUUGCAUUUUCCCGUACAGUGGAAGCGAGCACGCCCACUGCCGUGCAUCUGAACUCAGGGUGGCUGUGCCUCAGGCAGGCAGAGGGCGCACCGCCUCAUUUUAUUCUGGGCAUGUACAUGCACCGCUGCGAAGGGAUCACGGCGAAAUCGAGUGCCUGUUUCUAUACAAGCUGGUUGUUUCAUCAGGUCUCGCUUACGCGAAAUCGAGCACAGCAUCCGCUGGCGAUAUGGAUUCUACCAGUGUCGGCGGGCGAAAUUUCUGUGUUUCAAGGGAGACUCGUUGAAGUCUCUGCGGAGCUGCAGACCUGUGCACGGAGCGCCAGGCACAUAUCGACGCACACUCGUGGUCUCCAAAAGCACCUAAUGAAAGCGCUCCUCAUCAAGAUCCUUCUGUGGAUUUGUCAAAAUACCCGCCAGGCAGGGUAUGCAAAAGCAUCCGAUGGGAGCGCUCCUCACCAAGAUCUUUCUGGAGAUUCCUUAACAUACCCACUACAUUUCGUCUGAUGAACUUGAAAGAAUCGCAUCAGUAUCACCCAGCUCUGAUCGUCCUGAUGCGGAUUCCGUCUUGUUACGCCGUUUCUGAGCCUGCUCGUGAGCCCAUUCUCUAAAGUCGGUUUGCACGAGAAACUCCAAGCGAUCUGUAUAGCGCUGCUCGCUCUUCUUAUAGUGUUCUAGUUCCUCAGAGAGACCUUUCUCAUUCUUGAAGCGCUCCCAUUGCCGUUGCGUCAGGGCGAAGGUGCUUGGACGAUGCAUUCGCCCACGCUCGGCUGCUAUUUUGGGGAGACGUUUCAUCAGCGUCGAGGCGGGCGCAGAAAAGGUUUGAGGAUCCUGUCGAUUGGACACCACAGCGGCACGAACGCGCCUGUCACUUACUUCAGGGUGACUUGUCGAGGCAUCCGCACUUGAAGUGAGGCCCAGGAGCAUGUCUAAUUCGGCGCUAUCCUUUGUUCUGGUUGCAGUAUCUAAACCAGUGGCGUCCACUGGAUGCUGACAGCGCCGCAACGCCUGCCAGCG
rnacentral:misc_RNA from 1 species